rnacentral:rRNA from 1 species
CGGACGGGUGAGUAAUACCUAGGAAUCUGCCUGAUAGUGGGGGAUAACGUUCGGAAACGGACGCUAAUACCGCAUACGUCCUACGGGAGAAAGCAGGGGACCUUCGGGCCUUGCGCUAUCAGAUGAGCCUAGGUCGGAUUAGCUAGUUGGUGAGGUAAUGGCUCACCAAGGCUACGAUCCGUAACUGGUCUGAGAGGAUGAUCAGUCACACUGGAACUGAGACACGGUCCAGACUCCUACGGGAGGCAGCAGUGGGGAAUAUUGGACAAUGGGCGAAAGCCUGAUCCAGCCAUGCCGCGUGUGUGAAGAAGGUCUUCGGAUUGUAAAGCACUUUAAGUUGGGAGGAAGGGCAUUAACC